CGUUCAUGCUNGAAAGCGUGGGUAGCAAACAGGAUUAGAUACCCUGGUAGUCCACGCCCUAAACGAUGUCGAUUAGCUGUUGGGCAACUUGAUUGCUUAGUAGCGUAGCUAACGCGUGAAAUCGNCCGCCUGGGGAGUACGGUCGCAAGAUUAAAANUCAAAGGAAUUGACGGGGACCCGCACAAGCGGUGGAUGAUGCGGAUUAAUUCGAUGCAACGCGAAGAACCUUACCUGGUCUUGACAUGUACGGAAGAACUCAGAGACGAGUUUGUGCCUUCGGGAGCCGUAACACAGGUGCUGCAUGGCUGUCGUCAGCUCGUGUCGUGAGAUGUUGGGUUAAGUCCCGCAACGAGCGCAACCCUUGUCAUUAGUUGCCAUCAUUUAGUUGGGCACUCUAAUGAGACUGCCGGUGACAAACCGGAGGAAGGUGGGGAUGACGUCAAGUCCUCAUGGCCCUUAUGACCAGGGCUUCACACGUCAUACAAUGGUCGGUACUGAGGGUAGCCAAGCCGCGAGGUGGAGCCAAUCCCAGAAAACCGAUCGUAGUCCGGAUUGCACUCUGCAACUCGAGUGCAUGAAGUCGGAAUCGCUAGUAAUCGCAGGUCAGCAUACUGCGGUGAAUACGUUCCCGGGUCUUGUACACACCGC
rnacentral:rRNA from 1 species